CACUCUUUAAGGGGAUCAACAGUGCUGCAGGCAUCAAGUAAUUUGCUCGUGUUUACUAUUUUCUCAAAGCUAACAACAUCCUUCACUGGACAAGACCCACCCGUGAGAUUCAAUGAUGUUACCGAGCAAAGUGUAGGAAUUGUAUGGUUGGCCCCUCUGCUAGCUAAUAUGCUAAGGAUAUCUGAAAAACAAUCAUUAGCAACUGUGUUUUGCAAUACCAACUUAUCAGAUUUCAUACUGUAGAAACCUUGGAAUAUGUGGAGUAAACUACCAAGCUGCGGACAACAUAUUACGUUUCCUACAAGUGGGGCCAAAGGUUGGGAACAAUCCGAUGCUGUUUUUUGCAUGAUGCUUGACAUGGCAGAGAAAUUUACCGGGCAUCUCCCAGUUAAAUUUGGUUCGUAUGUUGUAGGAAAAGUUGGAUACAUUGGAGGCAAUGGUUCGCCAGCAUACGGGUAAGGUG
rnacentral:lncRNA from 1 species